rnacentral:rRNA from 1 species
GACGGGGCCCGCACAAGCGGUGGAGCAUGUGGUUAAUUCGAAGCAACGCGAAGAACCUUACCAGGUCUUGACAUCCCUGACAACCCGAGAGAUCGGGCGUUCCCCUUCGGGGGACAGGGUGACAGGUGGUGCAUGGUUGUCGUCAGCUCGUGUCGUGAGAUGUUGGGUUAAGUCCCGCAACGAGCGCAACCCUUGUCAUUAGUUGCCAUCAUUUAGUUGGGCACUCUAAUGAGACUGCCGGUGACAAACCGGAGGAAGGUGGGGAUGACGUCAAGUCCUCAUGGCCCUUAUGGGUAGGGCUUCACACGUCAUACAAUGGUCGGUACAGAGGGUUGCCAAGCCGCGAGGUGGAGCCAAUCCCUUAAAGCCGAUCGUAGUCCGGAUCGUAGUCUGCAACUCGACUACGUGAAGUCGGAAUCGCUAGUAAUCGCAGAUCAGCAUGCUGCGGUGAAUACGUUCCCGGGUCUU